rnacentral:rRNA from 1 species
UACGUAGGGUGCGAGCGUUGUCCGGAAUUACUGGGCGUAAAGAGCUCGUAGGUGGUUUGUCGCGUUGUCCGUGAAAACUCACAACUCAAUUGUGGGCGUGCGGGCGAUACGGGCAGACUGGAGUACUGCAGGGGAGACUGGAAUUCCUGGUGUAGCGGUGGAAUGCGCAGAUAUCAGGAGGAACACCGGUGGCGAAGGCGGGUCUCUGGGCAGUAACUGACGCUGAGGAGCGAAAGCUAGGGGAGCAAACGGG